rnacentral:rRNA from 1 species
GAACGCUGGCGGCAUGCCUUACACAUGCAAGUCGAACGGCAGCACGGGAGCAAUCCUGGUGGCGAGUGGCGAACGGGGUGAGUAACUGUAUCGGAACGUACCUUUCAGUGGGGGAUAACGUAGCGAAAGUUACGCUAAUACCGCAUAUUCUGUGAGCAGGAAAGCAGGGGAUCGCAAGACCUUGCGCUGAUUGAGCGGCCGAUAUCAGAUUAGCUAGUUGGUGAGGUAAAGGCUCACCAAGGCGACGAUCUGUAGCGGGUCUGAGAGGAUGAUCCGCCACACUGGAACUGAGACACGGUCCAGACUCCUACGGGAGGCAGCAGUGGGGAAUUUUGGACAAUGGGCGCAAGCCUGAUCCAGCCAUGCCGCGUGAGUGAAGAAGGCCUUCGGGUUGUAAAGCUCUUUCAGCCGGGAAGAAAACGCAUGGGUUAAUACCCUGUGUGGAUGACGGUACCGGAAUAAGAAGCACCGGCUAACUACGUG